GCGAAGGGGAGCUGGAGGGGAACGCCGCGAGGUCGGGGCGCAGGCACUGGAGCGUGAGCCCCUGGGAGCAUAGCAGGCGUGUGAUGAUAAUUUAGUCCCCAGGAAGCUUUCCAGCUGAGCAACAGAAAUAAAAGAGCAGGAGCAGGUUGCUGAUUGUUCUCUUCCCUGGAGCAGUUCAACGGGUAGAAGCGUAGCGAGGGCAUUGGCAGCUUUUACCUCAGCAUCAUCCAGCCCUGCUGAGAGGCACUCGACGCAGAACGGUGCUAAAAUGCUGGCAGAGGUCUUUCUCAGCACGGACUGCGCAGCUAUCCACCGGUCUCCGCAAUCCAGCAGGCAGUGAGAGCAGGCACCCUUGAAGUUGCAGCAAAGUGUUUUCUCGUGGACAGUGCAAAUGUCUCUCAAGCUGUCUGAAAGGAGGAAGCUGUCUGGAGAGAAGUGAAGACCUCUCAGGCACAAAGAUUUUUUGAGUCAGACACUGCUCAGCUGUUGCAUUGCAGAUGUCUUAGCUACAAACAAGCUUUC
rnacentral:lncRNA from 1 species